AUGAAUAGGUACAAAUUGUGCCGAAUACUGUGAAAGAAGUAUAUGACUACUGAUUGAGAUGAACAUUCUGAAAGAAACUCCAUGGGAACAUGAAUGGAAUUUUAAAAGAAGACUUAAUAUCGAUUUGAGAGUCAAGGACUGACUCUGAGAAAAGGAAUUUAAGACUUAGGCAAUGGCAGCAUUUAAGUAGACAGAGACAAGAAAAAAAUACUGUCAGUUUCUUAACCUGGGACCUAUAACAAGGCUGCUCACAGAAAAGGAACUAUCUCCAGUUUCACUGGGUGCCCUGGAUUCAUAGAUGGACAAAAUGUGCAUGAAGCACCAUACCAGAGAGAUAUGGAACUCUAUUUUCAGAAUUUUUCAGAAUGUCCACUGGGCAGCCAGCUGAUUGAACUCAGAAAUGGGACAUGUUCUCUCCCUAUGCGGUGAAUCUAUAACUGUGAGGAUAGGAAGCAGAAAGGAUCCAGGCACAUACACUUCCCCUACUGUAGAAGGCUACUUUGAACGGUACUUCUCUCAAUCCAUUGUAAGUUCUGCAUGCUGAUUCAUCUGCUGUGUCUCAUCACUGCUGAAUGUGAAA